GCCAGGAGUGGUGGAGCAUGCCUGCAGUCCCAGGUACUUGGGAGGCUCAUGCAAGAGGAUCACUUGGGCCCAAGGAGUUCUGGGUUGCAGUGUGCUAUGCCAAUUGGGUGUCUAAGUUCAGGAGUGGGGCACUACCAUAUUGCCUAGGAAGGGGUGAAUCGGCCCAGGUUAAAAAUGAAACAGAUCAAAACUCCCAUGAUCAGUAGUGAAAUUGCAGUGUGAAUAGCCACUGCAAUCAUCCUGGGAAACAUAGUGAGACCAAAUAUCU
rnacentral:SRP_RNA from 1 species